UACAGAGGUCUCAAGCGUUGUUCGGAUUCAUUGGGCGUAAAGGGUGCGUAGGCGGCGCGGUAAGUCGGGUGUGAAAUCUCGGGAGCUUAACUCCGAAACUGCAUUCGAUACUGCCGUGCUUGAGGACUGGAGAGGAGACUGGAAUUUACGGUGUAGCGGUGAAAUGCGUAGAUAUCGUAAGGAAGACCAGUGGCGAAGGCGGGGUCUCUGGACAGUUCCUGACGCUGAGGCACGAAGGUCAGGGGAGCAAACGGG
rnacentral:rRNA from 1 species